AGUGGCGGACGGGUGAGUAACGCGUGAGAAUCUGCCUUGGGGUCGGGGACAACCACUGGAAACGGUGGCUAAUACCGGAUAAGCCGAUUGGUGAAAGAUUUAUUGCCCGAAGAGGAGCUCGCUUCUGAUUAGCUAGUUGGUGAGGUAAGAGCUCACCAAGGCAGCGAUCAGUAGCUGGUCUGAGAGGACGAUCAGCCACACUGGGACUGAGACACGGCCCAGACUCCUACGGGAGGCAGCAGUGGGGAAUUUUCCGCAAUGGGCGAAAGCCUGACGGAGCAAGACCGCGUGAGGGAGGAAGGCUCUUGGGUUGUAAACCUCUUUUCUCAGGGAAGAAGCUCUGACGGUACCUGAGGAAUCAGCCUCGGCUAACUCCGUGCCAGCAGCCGCGGUAAUACGGAGGAGGCAAGCGUUAUCCGGAAUUAUUGGGCGUAAAGCGUCCGCAGGUGGCGAUUCAAGUCUGCUGUCAAAGCACGGGGCUUAACUCCGUAAAGGCAGUGGAAACUGAAUAGCUAGAGUGCCGUAGGGGUAGAGGGAAUUCCCGGUGUAGCGGUGAAAUGCGUAGAGAUCGGGAAGAACAUCGGUGGCGAAAGCGCUCUACUGGACGGCAACUGACACUCAGGGACGAAAGCUAGGGGAGCGAAUGGGAUUAGAUACCCC
rnacentral:rRNA from 1 species